CUUGUCCCAGCGGCAAAUGGUCGUUCUUUCCUCACAUCUCUCAGCUCUCAUCCGCCCCGUAAACUCAUGACUCCGAGGAGAACUUUCUGGAUCGUUUUCUCUUUCUUCCUCUUCGGUGGAAACAAGACCAACCAAUGAAACUAAAACAAGGCUGCCUACUAACUGCUGCUAAGCAAGGGGGUGUGACACUGUCACUUGAUGGAGACUGGGUGGCACGCUAGGCCUAGAAAACUUUAUCGUGUCAGAAGGAGACAGAGGAAGCCGGACUGGAAGGUGCUGGCCAGUGGAAGCUGGAGGUGGCUGACUUCAGGCAGGACAUCCUGUGUAAUUGGUUGUGGGAACAUCACUGGUUUUCUCUUGAUUGGGGACAAAAAUCAGGGUGGAUAUCUGUUAUUAAUAAAAUCAUGGCUGUUUAUUUGAAA